rnacentral:rRNA from 1 species
CCUACGGGAGGCAGCAGUAAGGAAUAUUGGUCAAUGGACGGAAGUCUGAACCAGCCAUGCCGCGUGCAGGAUGACGGCCCUCUGGGUUGUAAACUGCUUUUAUAGGGGACGAAAAAAGGGGAUUCUUCCUCACUUGACGGUACCCUAGGAAUAAGCACCGGCUAACUCCGUGCCAGCAGCCGCGGUAAUACGGAGGGUGCAAGCGUUAUCCGGAUUUACUGGGUUUAAAGGGUGCGUAGGUGGGUCGGUAAGUCAGCGGUGAAAUCUUCGAGCUUAACUCGGAAACUGCCAUUGAUACUAUUGAUCUUGAAUCGUCUAGAGGUAAGCGGAAUAUGUCAUGUAGCGGUGAAAUGCUUAGAUAUGACAUAGAACACCAAUUGCGAAGGCAGCUUACUAUGGAUGUAUUGACACUGAGGCACGAAAGCGUGGGGAUCAAACAGGAUUAGAUACCCUGGUAGUCCACGCCCUAAACGAUGGAUACUCGACAUUUGAGAUAUACUUUAAGUGUCUGAGCGAAAGCAUUAAGUAUCCACCUGGGAAGUACGAUCGCAAGAUUGAAACUCAAAGGAAUUGACGG